GUGAUAUUUGAGAAGUGAAAUGAAGUUUAUGGAUUUAAAGAAAGCAAAGACUUCACCAUAAACAGACAUGACUGUACCUAUGAGGAGAUACAGGAGCGCCUCCAGCUGCCAGACUCAGAAAAUGCAACAAACACAAUUUAUGCCACCGUCAGCUCUCCAAACCCUGUGCCCUCAACACAUUAUGCUACCAUUAACUUUCAAAACUCCGAUAAAGCUGCUGCUGAGACAGUCAGACUCGGCUACUCUGCCUGUGAAUAUUCUACUGUGAAGUUUCCCAAAUGUCGAACUGACUCGAGUGACACCCAACUGUACCCGCCGACCGAGGAGCCGCUCUACUCAACAGUCAACAAGCUAAGAAAAUGAGAUCAUUUAUUUAAAGAAUAUAACAGAUUUAUGAAUAAAAAUAAUGUAUUUAGUGUUUGAGUCACAGUGAUUUUGUGAUGGUGUUUUGGUGCUGAUCUGUUCUGAGAUCUUAGAUUUUAUUUCCCCGUGAAGAUAAUUGGCGCGAUAUGGCAGCCUCGCUUCUGUCAGUCUGCCCCAGGGCAGCUGUGGCUACAACUGUAGCUUGCCUCCACUAGUGUAUGAAUGUGAGAGUGAAUGAAUAGUGGUAUUGCAAAGCGCUUUGGGUGCCUUGAAAAGCGCUAUAUAAAUCCAAUCCAUUAUUAUUAUUAUUAAAGCCUAUCAGGAAGAUACGGACCUGCCUCUUUCACAGGAGGAGAAGCCAACAAAGAGGUCAAGUGCUUUUGUACCACACUGUGGUACGAUACACAACAUCCACACUUAGAGCCACUGACUUUAACCACAAUGAAUGUGAAAGUAUCCUAAGCAUCUGGAUUGAAUAAUAAUAUAUCAAAAGAAUUAGCUGUUAUUUAUAACUUAACUCUCUACAGCACAGCAUUGCUGCUGGGCAACAACAUGCCCAGUACAGGUGAAAUGAACUGAGCCAACCAAUCAGAGUGUUGGAAAAAGUAUCAAAUUUCAGUCCUAUAAGAUGUUCGAGUCACUGUCGAGCAGUAUUAGUACGGUGGGGCAUCCUGUUCUGACACAUGGUCACAGGACCAGAUGAUGUGUGAAGCUGCCAUUGUAAGUGUAAUUAAAAUGACAAACUGUAAAUAAAAGAGUACAUGUGAGUGUAAGAAGAUAUAGAGGGUUUUUUUUUCAUGUUUCAUGCUGUGUUUUCAUUUUGAAUGUUAAAAAAAAUGUUUUUUCCUUCUUUCCAUUGCCCUUGUGUGAUAAAGGGAACUUUUUAAGGGAGCCAUAUGUAAUACACACACACACACACACACACACACACACACACACACACACACACACACACACACACACAGAUAUAUAUAUAUAUGCAUGUAUGUAUAUACCACUCCUAUGUUCUUUGUCCCACUUCAGUCUAAGAUCGUCUGUAACCAUGUAACCAAAACUAUGAAUUGUAAUUUUAAAUGGUUUAAAAGUAUAUAGAAUAGCAUAUGUAGGCAAGUAUAUUUCUCCUUUUGUUAUCAAGAAGCAAAGACAGAAAGGGGAAAAAAAGAACAAACAGGGCAGGGUUUGGUGGUUGAAUCAUCCGUCCCCACCAAUGCCAAAACCAAAUCUACGCCCUUGGACUAUAAAAGUCAAAGUGAAUUGAAUCAAGAGUAAAGAUGAGGAUUCCUGUGUGCACAGAAACAAAAAAGUGAUGUGUCUGAAGUGCAAUGUGCACCUCUGUUUUACAGCACAGAACUCUCUCUUCAACACUUUCUAUUGUUUUUAUUGCUUUCAGUUGUGUUAUGAUCUAUGAGUUAUGUUUAUAUAUAUACUGUUGUUGCACAAUGUUUCCUCUAAGCAAUGAAAAAUAUCUUGAAGAGGUUGUCUGGAAUACAUUUUUUGUAUCAGUCAGUAAAUGAUGUUAAAUCAUUUCCAGCAUGUACCACGAAAAUGUGUGCAGUAGUAGUUAAACAGUUUGCUUGACUUCAAUAUUUUCAUGCUUAAAUAUAUCCACGGUGCUGUGUGUAUCGGACAUAUUGUUUACAUCAGUGUUUUUGCUUUGUAAGAGAUAAUUUACCCCUGCUGUACAUAGAAACCGCCUGGAAGCUGUCCGUCUGUCUACGGUGCAGUUUUAUGAGUUAUAAUGUGACCAGUUUUAAUCGGGGGGAUAAUUUAUCAUGUUUAUUCAACAACUGUUUGUCAGUUUUAUAUUUGUC
ensembl:lncRNA